CUUGCUCCUUUUCGCUGCUGAUAGGUCAUUUAUUACUGGGGCUGAAAUGAGAUAAACAAUUCUCUCUCUUUUCCCCCUUGUUAACAGCAACUUUCAUUGUUGGAGAGAGAAGAGCCUUGUUGGUUGACGUCACUUUUGGUUCAUGAAGGCUUCGCCUGGAAGUGAAGCUGAAUAAACCUUGAGCAGAGAAUCUGCUUCAAUCUGCUGCAGCUGUAAGGAACUAGCCAGCGAGACAGCGAAACAGAUACACACAGAGAGAGCUACACUCGUCCAAAUUUCCCCAGUUUUCCCACUUCUCCUUAGUGUUUCUUUACGCUCUUCUUGAGGGUAAGGGGUUGGACAGGGAAACAUCCCCGACAUCCCACUCCUACCCUUCAGCCACCUGAGAAAGGGGAGAUCUUUCCCAAACUAGAAAGUUUGUAAAUCAGUGAUGUCCCAGAACUGACCACAUUCAUCACAAUGUAUUACAGAGGUGAUGUCAAGGUGAAAGCAGACCUGCAGAAUGGUUGGAAAUCAUUGAUAUUCUGACUCUGAGGCUGUAAAUGGCUCUGUGGCAGAUGGAGUCUUUGUCAAGGAAGAAAAAUGGCAGCUUUGGAGCAUCAUAGAUGUUUUUGCUAGCAGCUCAGCUCACAGGCUGUGACCUUCUAGUGUUCAGGAGUUUCUCUUGUGCUUUAAUAAAUUGUCCUAUGCCUUUAUUCCCUAAAGUAGAUAAAUAGUAGUCAUCAUAAUUCAGUACAAAUUGAGGUGUUUCAUUAUAAAGAAACGUAAACAUGUUUUAUUAUCCUGAUUUGUAAGAAGCAAGGUUGUGUUUCUGAAUGAGGUAAGUUCAGAAAUAUUUUAACUUGAUACGUUUGUUACUAAAACUAAAAGGGAACCCCACUAACCUUGAACCUUUUUAUAUAUUUUUUCUAGUUCCUUAGAACUAGCAUCACAUUUAAACUACACAUGAGAUGAAAAAUAAAACAGACAAUAUAUUUUUGGUCAGUGUGUCAAUUUUUAAAUUGUUUGCACUGUGAGGACCUGUAGCUAGCUAAUUCAAGUAAAGGGAUAGAAUGUCAGGGUAUAGUGUAUAUUGGUGAAAGUAUUUCUUGCUAACUUGGAAAACAAGAAUGCAUAAUAUAAAUUCAGAAUUAUUUGUAUUGUUUUUUGUUUUUACUGAUGCUAGUGGUUUGUGACCCAAAGAUACUGUAGCAUACUGUGGUGUUGAUAAAAUUGUACAGAACAGUUAGCACCUGGCAGCAUCCAGUCCU